GAGUAAUGCAUAGGAAACUGCCCAGUAGUGGGGGAUAGCCCGGGGAAACCCGGAUUAAUACCGCAUACGCCCUUUGGGGGAAAGCAGGGGAUCUUCGGACCUUGCGCUAUUGGAUGUGCCUAUGUCGGAUUAGCUAGUUGGUGGGGUAAGAGCCUACCAAGGCGACGAUCCGUAGCUGGUCUGAGAGGAUGAUCAGCCACAUCGGGACUGAGACACGGCCCGAACUCCUACGGGAGGCAGCAGUGGGGAAUAUUGGACAAUGGGGGCAACCCUGAUCCAGCCAUGCCGCGUGUGUGAAGAAGGCUUUCGGGUUGUAAAGCACUUUCAGUGAGGAGGAAAACCUUACGACUAAUACUCGUGAGGCUUGACGUUACUCACAGAAGAAGCACCGGCUAACUCCGUGCCAGCAGCCGCGGUAAUACGGAGGGUGCAAGCGUUAAUCGGAAUUACUGGGCGUAAAGCGCGCGUAGGUGGUUUGAUAAGCGAGAUGUGAAAGCCCCGGGCUCAACCUGGGAACGGCAUUUCGAACUGUCAGGCUAGAGUAUGGUAGAGGAGUGUGGAAUUUCCUGUGUAGCGGUGAAAUGCGUAGAUAUAGGAAGGAACACCAGUGGCGAAGGCGGCACUCUGGACCAAUACUGACACUGAGGUGCGAAAGCGUGGGGAGCAAACAGGG
rnacentral:rRNA from 1 species